AACACGGGCGCUGCCAUUCGUCUGCAUAGAUGCGGGUCAUUUCCGGCGGAAGGGGUUUCCGCAGCCUUUUACCUGUAUAAACACAGCGGCGUGGACACGGCGUGGACACAAACCUAAACGAAAUACUUGCUGUUCGUGUGUUUUUUCUCUCGACAACUAUGUCUUUGCCAUGGGAACACGGUUCUACGACUUUAACUGGAGGUGGCGUUACUCUCCCGACCCGAAUUCAGUGCAGAACCGGGAUGAUAACGUGAUGACAGCAGCAGAACUGACAGCAGGAUCUGCUCCUACUUCCUGCAAUCCGCAAUGGACAAACUGAAAGUUUCUGAGGUUUAUCAAUAUCUGCACAGAGACAAAGUCGGUUUUGUCAUGUCAUACAAACAUGGUCGUUUUGUUUAUUUGAAAGCAAAUGUCGAACCUGGCCAGUGUUUGAACAAUGCGGGGCUUAAAGCUCGGCUGCUGUAACUGAAGCUGGAGAAGUCAGACCUGCGUCAUGUUCGUGUUGCUGGACCUGGAGAUCGUGUUCCCAUUCAGCUGCGAUCUUAUGGAAGGUAGAAAAUGCUGUGAGACGGGAAAACCGGGCUUGCCUGCACUGACUGACAAGAGCUGGGUCUGAAAGAAAUGCUGAAAAUAAAGAACUUUAUCACAAUACACACACAACAGGAAGGAUCUUUACCAGCCGUCACCAACAGCAUCUUCUACCACUCCAGAACCGGCACAGGAGGUGAAACUCUGUAGGACUCAUGAAGAGUGGAGGAACAGCCCUGGGAAUAUUCUCCUGCAGCUCUGCCUCCCGCCAUCACCAACCAACUUUUCACACAUACUCCCAAAAAUUGAUGAUUUUGUUGAGGGAAGGUUACAGUUCUGCAGUAAAUAUCUCAGCAUUUUAAAACUAAAAUGAAUUAUUUAGGAACCAACAGAUGUUUGUACUGUGAAAAUAAAGUUUGAUGAAACUUAAUUUCAUUUCAUUAUUGCACUGAACUACGAUCAAUGAAUGAUAGGCCUUAUCUUCCUUAAUGUGUUACAAUGUCUUUUAACAGUUCAUCAUUCAUAGUAAGCUCAUACUGUACAUUAAUAAUGGAUGAAUUUUGAGUUUUGAGGAAACUAAACAAAUGGCUUCAACAAGAAAAUUCAUAUGUUUAAUCUUAACAGGAAUAAAAAAAGUAAAA